UUCGCAAUGCCCGAAAGGGUGACGAAGCGACGCCGCGUGCGGGAAGAAGGCCUUCGGGUUGUAAACCGCUGUCGGGAGUUAAGAAAUGCAGAGAUGUUAAUAGCGUCUUUGCUUGACUAAGGCUCCGGAGGAAGCCACGGCUAACUCUGUGCCAGCAGCCGCGGUAAUACAGAGGCGGCAAGCGUUGUUCGGAAUUAUUGGGCGUAAAGAGCACGUAGGCGGCUAUGUAAGUCGGUUGUGAAAGCCUUCCGCUCAACGGAAGAACAGCAUCCGAUACUGCAUGGCUUGAGUGCGGGAGGGGAGAGUGGAACUUCUGGUGGAGCGGUGAAAUGCGUAGAUAUCAGAAGGAACGCCGGCGGCGAAAGCGGCUCUCUGGCCCAUAACUGACGCUGAGUGUGCGAAAGCUAGGGGAGCAAACGGGAUUAGAUACCCCGGUAGUCCUAGCCGUAAACGAUGGGCACUAAGUAGAGGGGUUUU
rnacentral:rRNA from 1 species